rnacentral:rRNA from 1 species
CCCUUAGAUGUUCUGGGCCGCACGCGCGCUACACUGACGAAUGCAACGAGCUUAUAACCUUGGCCGAAAGGUCUGGGUAAUCUCCAAAUUUCGUCGUGAUGGGGAUAGAUUAUUGCAAUUAUUAAUCUUCAACGAGGAAUGCCUAGUAAGCGCAAGUCAUCAGCUUGCGUUGAUUACGUCCCUGCCCUUUGUACACACCGCCCGUCGCUCCUACCGAUUGAAUGGUCCGGUGAAGCGUUCGGACCGUGGCCUUUGGACGGUUCGCCGUCUGUUGGCUGCGGGAAGUCCGUUAAACCUUAUCAUUUAGAGGAAGGAGAAGUCGUAACA